AUGAAGGACGCGCUGCUGCUGAUGCUGUCGGAUCACCAGAGAAUUGCCACACCCCGAUAUGUGCAGAACCAGAAGCUGGCACGAGCACAUCUCAAAGGUCUCCAUUCAUUGACUACAACAAGAAGAAGUCAUUCAGCUCCAAUUAAGGAGCAAAUGAUGAAGCUACCAGGUAAACUAACUCCCCAUAGCCUACAUACAUAUCCUUUUCAAUUGCACAGGACCAGCCCUGAGAUAAUCAGGUAUGGUAAUUUCUUCAUUUCUUUAAAGGAGUUAGUUGAUUCGAUGAAGCCGGUUCAAUGGCUAUCAAAAAUUGUUAUUGAGACUGGAAUCUUACACAUCAUGGAGAACUUACCAGAAGGGUCAAACAAGGUUGUUAUGCCACUGAGGUUUUCGAUGAAUUUACAGCAAGUUAUCCACAACGUGAAUGAGAUAAACAAGAAGUUUGAUUACAAGAACCGUCUCGACAAGAAGGACUUGCUGAGUGUCAUGCUGCCAGUGCUCGAGUGCGCUGAUGUAACUGAUAAGGAGGGAGGGAGGCAUUAUUGGGUCUUCAAUGUUAACUUAAGGGAUGGACGCUUCGAAGUUCUUGACUCAAACAGGACGCUGGACAACAUUGAGCUGAUGACCACCGCCUCUACCAUCGCGGGGGCAGUACGCCAGCUAUGGAGGAAGCAUUACCCAAAGUUCAGCAUUGAGCACUUCCAGAUUAUUCACAUUGAUGUACCAAAGCAGCUCGGCAAUAAUGAGUGUGGGUUGUUCGCACUGCUUAACGCCACCGAGUGGAAUAGUAGCCAACUGCCCAACUACGAACCCAAGGAAGUACUCAACAUCAGGAAGAAGGUAGCAUAUGACUGGGUCACCAGCGUGCACAACACUGCCCCAUGGAGGAAGUUACUGAGAUACGACAAGGACUAG
rnacentral:rRNA from 1 species